rnacentral:rRNA from 1 species
UACAUGGGGUGCAAACGUUGCUCGGAAUCAUUGGGCGUAAAGCGCGCGUAGGCGGUUACUUAAGUUGGAUGUGAAAGCCCUCGGCUUAACUGAGGAAGUGCAUCCAAAACUGAGUAGCUAGAGUACGAAAGAGGGUCGCGGAAUUCCCGGUGUAGAGGUGAAAUGCGCAGAUAUCGGGAGGAACACCUAUGGCGAAGGCAGCCCGCUGGGACGUUACUGACGCUGAGACGCGAAAGCGUGGGGAGCAAACAGG